GGAGAGGCCAGCCGAUGGGUGGCGGCGACUGUUUCGAAAACAGUUUGCGCGUAUGCGCGUGCGGGUUCGACUCCCACUCUCUCCG
rnacentral:tRNA from 1 species